rnacentral:rRNA from 1 species
GAUGAACGCUGGCGGCGUGCCUAAUACAUGCAAGUCGAGCGAACGGACGAGAAGCUUGCUUCUCUGAUGUUAGCGGCGGACGGGUGAGUAACACGUGGAUAACCUACCUAUAAGACUGGGAUAACUUCGGGAAACCGGAGCUAAUACCGGAUAAUAUUUUGAACCGCAUGGUUCAAAAGUGAAAGACGGUCUUGCUGUCACUUAUAGAUGGAUCCGCGCUGCAUUAGCUAGUUGGUAAGGUAACGGCUUACCAAGGCAACGAUGCAUAGCCGACCUGAGAGGGUGAUCGGCCACACUGGAACUGAGACACGGUCCAGACUCCUACGGGAGGCAGCAGUAGGGAAUCUUCCGCAAUGGGCGAAAGCCUGACGGAGCAACGCCGCGUGAGUGAUGAAGGUCUUCGGAUCGUAAAACUCUGUUAUUAGGGAAGAACAUAUGUGUAAGUAACUGUGCACAUCUUGACGGUACCUAAUCAGAAAGCCACGGCUAACUACGUGCCAGCAGCCGCGGUAAUACGUAGGUGGCAAGCGUUAUCCGGAAUUAUUGGGCGUAAAGCGCGCGUAGACGGUUUUUUAAGUCUGAUGUGAAAGCCCACGGCUCAACCGUGGAGGGUCAUUGGAAACUGGAAAACUUGAGUGCAGAAGAGGAAAGUGGAAUUCCAUGUGUAGCGGUGAAAUGCGCAGAGAUAUGGAGGAACACCAGUGGCGAAGGCGACUUUCUGGUCUGUAACUGACGCUGAUGUGCGAAAGCGUGGGGAUCAAACAGGAUUAGAUACCCUGGUAGUCCACGCCGUAAACGAUGAGUGCUAAGUGUUAGGGGGUUUCCGCCCCUUAGUGCUGCAGCUAACGCAUUAAGCACUCCGCCUGGGGAGUACGACCGCAAGGUUGAAACUCAAAGGAAUUGACGGGGACCCGCACAAGCGGUGGAGCAUGUGGUUUAAUUCGAAGCAACGCGAAGAACCUUACCAAAUCUUGACAUCCUUUGACAACUCUAGAGAUAGAGCUUUCCCCUUCGGGGGACAAAGUGACAGGUGGUGCAUGGUUGUCGUCAGCUCGUGUCGUGAGAUGUUGGGUUAAGUCCCGCAACGAGCGCAACCCUUAAGCUUAGUUGCCAUCAUUAAGUUGGGCACUCUAAGUUGACUGCCGGUGACAAACCGGAGGAAGGUGGGGAUGACGUCAAACCAUCAUGCCCCUUAUGAUUUGGGCUACACACGUGCUACAAUGGACAAUACAAAGGGCAGCGAAACCGCGAGGUCAAGCAAAUCCCAUAAAGUUGUUCUCAGUUCGGAUUGUAGUCUGCAACUCGACUAUAUGAAGCUGGAAUCGCUAGUAAUCGUAGAUCAGCAUGCUACGGUGAAUACGUUCCCGGGUCU